UACAGGGGGUGCAAACGUUGCUCGGAAUUAUUGGGCGUAAAGCGCGCGUAGGCGGCCACUUAAGUCGGAUGUGAAAGCCCCUGGCUCAACUGGGGAAGUGCACCCGAAACUGAAUGGCUUGAAUGCAAAAGAGGGUCGCGGAAUUCCCGGUGUAGAGGUGAAAUUCGUAGAUAUCGGGAGGAACACCAGCGGCGAAGGCGGCACUCUGGGCUGGAACUGGCGCUGAGGAGCGAAAGCGUGGGUAGCAAACAGG
rnacentral:rRNA from 1 species